rnacentral:rRNA from 1 species
UACGAACCGUCCAAACGUUAUUCGGAAUUACUGGGCUUAAAGGGUACGUAGGCGGCGCUGUUAGUCGGGUGUGAAAGCUCACGGCUCAACCGUGGAAUUGCGCCCGAUACUGCAGUGCUUGAGGGAGACAGAGGUAAGCGGAACUGAUGGUGGAGCGGUGAAAUGCGUUGAUAUCAUCAGGAACACCGGUGCGAAGACGGCUGACUGGUCUGCUUCUGACGCUGAGGUACGAAAGCUAGGGUAGCGAAGGGG